ACCUUAUGUAGUAAAACUGUAAUACGCUGGGCUUAAAACUCAGAGAUGGGGAAGAACUCCCGUAAGGUG
rnacentral:tRNA from 1 species